UACGUGAACCUGCGGAAGGAUCAUUACAAGUGAGGCUACCGAACGUUGGAAACAGCGGUUAGGAGCUUACACCCACCCGUGUUUACAUACUAUUGGUGCUUUGGCGGGCCGUGGCCUCCACUGCGGGCUCUGCUCGUGUGUGCCCGCAGAGAACCAAACUCUGAAUGUUAGUGAUGUCUGAGUACUAUAUAAUAGUUAAAACUUUCAACAACGGAUCUCUUGGUUCUGGCAUCGAUGAAGAACGCAGCGAAAUGCGAUAAGUAAUGUGAAUUGCAGAAUUCAAGUGAAUCAUCGAAUCUUUGAACGCACAUUGCGCCCUGUGGUAUUCCGCAGGGCAUGCCUGUUCGAGCGUCAUUUAACCACUCACGCCUAGCGUGGUAUUGGGGCACGCGGGUCUCCGCGGCCCUCAAAAUUAGUGGCGGCGCCGGUGGGCUCUAAGCGUAGUACAUACUCCCGCUAUAGAGUUCCCCCGGGGCUCGCCAGAACCCCCAAUUUUUACAGGUUGAC
rnacentral:rRNA from 1 species